GGGUUGUGAGGUUAAGCGACUAAGCGUACACGGUGGAUGCCCUGGCAGUCAGAGGCGAUGAAGGACGUGCUAAUCUGCGAUAAGCGUCGGUAAGGUGAUAUGAACCGUUAUAACCGGCGAUUUCCGAAUGGGGAAACCCAGUGUGAUUCGUCACACUAUCAUUAACUGAAUCCAUAGGUUAAUGAGGCGAACCGGGGGAACUGAAACAUCUAAGUACCCCGAGGAAAAGAAAUCAACCGAGAUUCCCCCAGUAGCGGCGAGCGAACGGGGAGGAGCCCAGAGCCUGAAUCAGUGUGUGUGUUAGUGGAAGCGUCUGGAAAGGCGCGCGAUACAGGGUGACAGCCCCGUAC
rnacentral:rRNA from 1 species